rnacentral:rRNA from 1 species
AACAGGAUUAGAUACCCUGGUAGUCCUAGCUGUAAACGAUGAUCACUGGGUGUGGGGGGUCGAACCUCCGUGCCGAAGUUAAUGCGAUAAGUGAUCCGCCUGGGGAGUACGUUCGCAAGAAUGAAACUCAAAGGAAUUGACGGGGACUCGCACAAGCGGUGGAGCAUGUGGUUUAAUUCGACGCAACGCGAGGAACCUUACCAGUUCUUGACAUCCUACAAACUUUCUGGAGACAGAUUGGUGCCCUUUCGGGGGAAUGUAGUGACAGGUGGUGCAUGGCUGUCGUCAGCUCGUGUCGUGAGAUGUUGGGUCAAGUCCCGCAACGAGCGCAACCCCUAUCGUUAGUUACCAUCAUUAAGUUGGGGACUCUAGCGAGACUGCCUGCGAUGAGCAGGAGGAAGGUGGGGAUGACGUCAAGUCAUCAUGCCCCUUAUGAACUGGGCUACACACGUGCUACAAUGGGGAGUACAAAGAGUCGCAAGCUGGUGACAGCAAGCUAAUCUCAAAAAGCUCCUCUCAGUUCGGAUUGUAGUCUGCAACUCGACUACAUGAAGUUGGAAUCGCUAGUAAUCGCAAAUCAGCAACGUUGCGGUGAAUACGUUCUCGGGUCUUGUACACACCGCCCGUCACACCACGAGAGUUGGUUGCACCUGAAGUAGCAGGCCUAACCGUAAGGAAGGAUGUUCCUAAGGUGUGAUUAGCGAUUGGGGUGAAGUCGUAACAAGGUAACC